rnacentral:rRNA from 1 species
GCUUGUCUCAAAGAUUAAGCCAUGCAUGUCUAAGUACAAGCCUCAGUAAGGUGAAACUGCGAAUGGCUCAUUAAAUCAGUUAUAGUUUAUUUGAUAAUACCUUACUACUUGGAUAACCGUGGUAAUUCUAGAGCUAAUACAUGCUACACAACCCGACUUCUGGAAGGGGUGUAUUUAUUAGAUGGAAACCAAUGCGGGGCAACCCGGAUUCUGGUGAUUCAUAAUAACUUUCGGAUCGAUCCUCGGAUCGAUGCAUCAUUCAAGUUUCUGCCCUAUCAGCUUUGGAUGGUAGGGUAUUGGCCUACCAUGGCUUUAACGGGUAACGGAGAAUUAGGGUUCGAUUCCGGAGAGGGAGCCUGAGAAAUGGCUACCACAUCCAAGGAAGGCAGCAGG